AGGCACCUGCACAGGUGCUGCAUGGCUGUCGUCAGCUCGUGUCGUGAGAUGUUGGGUUAAGUCCCGCAACGAGCGCAACCCUUAUCCCUAGUUGCCAUCAGGUAAAGCUGGGAACUCUGGGGAGACUGCCGGUGAUAAACCGGAGGAAGGCGGGGAUGACGUCAAGUCCUCAUGGCCCUUACAUCCCGGGCUACACACGUGCUACAAUGGCAGGUACAGAGGGCUGCGAAGCCGCGAGGUGGAGCGAAUCCCAGAAAACCUGUCUCAGUCCGGAUUGAAGUCUGCAACUCGACUUCAUGAAGGCGGAAUCGCUAGUAACCGCGAAUCAGCAGGUCGCGGUGAAUACCGGUUCCCGGGCCUU
rnacentral:rRNA from 1 species